UCCUCCUGCCACUUACCCGCCCAUGAAACCUUUAACAACGGGGCGAAUCCUGGAAGGCUGCCCGUAUUAAAUAUCUUUAGAAAUCACUUCAGAAAGCGCCUUCAGGAAGGCAGCUCACCUCUUUCGCUCCGUCUUAGGACGGCAGGGCUGGAGCCUGCACACAGGGAAGGCAGGAAGCAAAGGCACGAGGAACACAGACGCUUCCGCCAGACCUGGGCCGAGUCCUGGCCCUGCCUACUAACUGAGGAGCAUGGGCAGCUCAUUGCCCCCGGGUCUCGGUUUCUGCAUCUGUAAAGUGGGGAAAGUACGACUGCCCACUGCAGAAAAUGUCAAUGGAGUUAAGCCAAAUGACGCACGUCAACCGCUUAACCCAGCAUCUAGCGCGCAGCAAGUCCCCAAACCAAGGGCAAUUACAAGGGAGUCUCUUGCGGGCCCUGCCUGUGUCCCCUUUGUAUUGCUCUGUCUUGUGUUUAGCAGAGGUUCUGCCAGACACAAGGGACGAGGGAGGGGAGAAGACCUGUUCUUGCUCCUGGACUUGAGAGUCGUCCCAUCCUCCUGUGAUGUCAUAAUUUGCGCAGCAGCCCACACACGCUUGUGAGCUCCAGCCACCCCGGGACAGUCCCCACCUCCCACAGGCUGCUUGUCGCCUGCUCACACCUGGGGCCUCUGCUGCCACCCUGCCACCCCUGAGAGCCCGGCAGGCUCCAGCUCCGUGCUCAGCGCUGACCCAGGGCAGCCGCAUUUGCGCAAGGCUCUCGCUCCCCAGGAGAUCCACCCGCCGGGCUGCCGAGUGACAGGGGACAGAGCGGGCUCGGGGACAGGAGGCUCAGGAUGCAGAGGAAAUCAAAACCAAUCCACCUGCUUAAGGAAGACUCAGCCGGCAAACGCCGCGCCGUGGCCUCCUCCUCCUCCUUCGGGCACCUGCAGCAGGUGUUAGCCCAGCCCCUGAUGUGGCACUGGGCCGUUUACGACUGCCUCAUGACACUCUUUCUCAUGGUUGUGCUUGCGCUGGUGUUUGACAACUUCGUGUGAUCGUCUCUCCUCGCUCCAAAUAAAUAAACCCUCAGCUCCUGGAGGGCAAGGGGUGUCCUCAACACGA